UUUUAGUGAUCUGAAAAAGUCAAUUCAGUUAGCCACUAGAGUUCAAUCAAAAACUUCGGAAGAGUGCAUCAUCUUAAAGUACGUAAGAGAGAAUCAUGACCUCCAGCUCAGAAUUCAAGAAUAGGCAGGUUUGUGAAAUAGUAAGCUCAGAAAAGUUGAGGGCCAGUGAACUCCUAUUUCAAGUUCUUGCAGGUGUUUGUACUUUUUUCCCAGCACCACUGAAACUUGACCUUCGGCCGGCGCGGUGGCUCACGCCUGUAAUCCCAGCACUUUGGGAGGCCGAGAUGAGCGGAUCACGAGGUCAGAAGAUCGAGACCAUCCUGGCUAACACGGUGAAACCCCGUCUCUACUAAAAAUACAAAAAAAUUAGCCGAGCGUGGUGGCAGGCGCCUGUAGUCCCAGCUACUUGGGAGGCUGAGGCAGGAGAAUGGCGUGAACCCGGGAGGCGGAGCUUGCGAGCCUAGAGACCGCAGGCGCGGGGAAAGCACUCCACGACCAUCACUGGCCAGGCCACAAGAGUGCUGGAUCUAAAUUUGGAACCGGACUUUCAGAGCUGAAAUAAACCUGAGGUUUUCCAGGGGCUUUUAACCUCCUUUUACAGCCAAGGAUGCGCCUAAGAAAGGGGAGAGGCUUCCGUGACUUCCUGCAGUAACGCAGCCACUAGAGAUUGAGACUACAACAACUUGGGAGUCUAAAAGUCUGCAACCUUUUCCACUCCAGAGCUCGAUGUUUCCUCAAUCCCCCGGGAUCGGCAUCAGCAAAAACCCGGAGAAGCGGAGCCUUUCUCAAAGAAAAUGACCUCCAGACUCAUGCUACCAUCUCGACCGGUGCAAGUAUCACGCAUGCGCAGGACCGGCCGGCCGGCCGCACCUCGCCAACUCCUACUCGGACACGUCAUCUAGGUCGGCCAGGGUCUGGUGGGAGGGGCCGGGGGCGGGGCUCGGACGCGGGGCGAAGUGGUCCCCCUACUUCCGGAUCCGGCCUCACCUGGCCAACGCCUCACUCGGGGUUCCUUGGUUACGUGGCUGCGGUGUCUACCCGGUGCCGGGGCGUGGCGGAGAGAGACCGCCCCGCCCUCCACGCAGGCCACAAAAUGGAGGCCCUGCCCUGUGGGCUUUUGUGGCCUGGGCGCUGUCGUGCCGAAAGACGAAAGUGACAAUUCCAGUUGCAAACUGGAAAGAAAUGGAGUUUUUCCUUCAUUCUCCCCAUGAUCGUGACGGUCCUUUUCUCAAAGUACUAAUACUUUUAAUGGGACUGUAAAACUUGAGGGAUAUGACUCUCUCCUCUCCUCUGCUUCAGAUUGCAUUUGCCAACUCUGAUUUACCGCCAAUACUAUGGUGCUGUCAUAUUCAUAGAGACAGAAAGUAGAGCAGUGGUUGUAGAGAGAGUCUGCAGAAGGAGGGAUGGGGAUUUACUGUUUAAUGGCAUACGGUUUCAGUAUGGGUUGGUGAAAAAGUUGGGAUGAAUGGUGAUGACUGCACAACAAUGCAAAUAUGCUAAUGUCACAGAAGUGUACACUUAAAAAUGGUUAGACGGUAAGUUUUCUAUUAUGUAUAUUUUACCACAAUUUUUUUUUUUAAAUGCAACAGAGUCUCGCUGUUGCCUAGGCUGGAGUGCAGUGGCAGGAUCUCAGCCCACUGCAACCUCCGCCUUCCAGGUUCAAGCGAUUCUCGUGCCUCAGCCUCCCAAGUAACUGGGAUUACAGGUGCCAGCCACCACGCCCAGCUAAUUUUUGUAUUUUUAGUAGAGAUGGGGUUUCACCAUGUUGGCCAGGCUAGGCUGUUCUCGAACUCCUGAACUCAGGUGAUCCGCCUGCCUUGGUCUCCCCCAGUGCCGGGAUUACACGCGUGAGCCACCACGCCCGGCCCCACAGUUUUUUGUUUUUAAUUUUUAAAUUUUUUUUAAUGGCAUUUGUGUCUUUUUUUCUUUUUCUUUUGUUUUUGAAACAGAAUCUCACUCUGUCGCCAAGCUGGAGUGCAGUGGCGCCAUCUUGGCUCACUGCAACCUCUGACUCCCUGGUUCAAGCGAUUCUCCUGCCUCAGCCUCUCCAGUAGCUGGGGUUACAGGCACGCACCACCCCGCCCAGCUAAUUUUUGUAUUUUUAGUAGAGAUGGGGUUUCACCAUAUUGGCCAGGAUGGUCUCCAUCUCCUGACCUCGUGAUCCACCUUGGCUUCCCAAAGUGCUGGGAUUACAGGUGUGAGCCACUGCACCCAACCUAAAUGGCAUUUGUUUCUUCCACUCCUCUCUGCCAGAAUAAUUUGGACAGCCUUUUCUGAGUUUCCCAUGACGACUUCUGUAUAAGAUUGUCAGAUAUAGCAAAUAAAAGUACAGUAUGCCCAGGUAAAUUUUAAUUUCAGAUGAUCAAUGAAUAAUUUUUUAGUAUAAGUACAUUCCAACUAUUACAUGGGACAUAAGGGUAUUUUAUCGGAUCACCCUACUUUUGUGUCAAGUUAAAAUUAUUAGCAAAAGUGCUUCCGUUUUUAGGAAGUGCACACUGUACUCUAGUAGUUAGGCAGGAGAACAGGGUCUGCGAGCAGGGAACCUAAGGCCGUUUCACACUGACUUCCUAGAGCCAUUUGGAAAGGAAAACCCUAACUUUCCACUCCUAAGUAACAAAAGGCCCAGAGGACACUCCCUUUGCAAACCCCCACCUUUUCUGUGCGGCAGCUGGAAAAUUGAAAGUGCCUCUGAUUGGUUGCUUUCUGCAACUAAUCAGAUGUUUGCAUAGAGCGUAACUUUGUAACUUCACUUCAGCCUCUGAUUGGUUGCUGUCCCCAACCAAUCAGACUGAUUGUGGGCCAAGGCUUCCUUUGCAUAGAAGUGCAACUUUGUAACUUCACUUUAGCCUCUGAUUGCAGGCCACCACUUCAUUUACAUGGGGUGAGCACCAAGUAAGUGGCCAAUGGGAAACCUCUAGAGGGUAUUUGGACCCGAGAAGAUUCGGUAUCUGGGGCCCUUGAGCUGCUGCUCAGCCUGCUCCCACACUGUGAAGUGUACUUUCACUUUCAAUAAUCUCUGCUUUCCUUGCUUCAUUCUUUCCUAGCUUUACUGUGCGUUUUGUCCAAUUAUUUGUUCAAAACGCCAAGAACCUGGACAACUUGCUGUCCACAACCAAUCAGACUGAUUGUGGGCCGAAUCUUCAUUUGCAUGGAAGUGCAACUUUGUAACUUCACUUUAGCCUCUGAUUGCGGGCCACCACUUCAUUUACAUGAGGCAAACACCAAGCAGGUGGCCAAUGGGAAACCUCUAGAGGGUAUUUGGGCCUGAGAAGAUUCUGUAUCUGGGGUUCUUGAGCUACUGCUUGGGCUCACUCCCACACUGUGAAGUGUACUUUCACUUUCAAUAAAUCUCUGCUUUCCUUGCUUUGCUGUGCGUUUUGUUCAAUUCUUUGUUCAAAACCCCAAGAAUCUGGACAACUUGCACUCAAGACCCUCUACCGGUUUGGCGAGCCAGGUAGGAGGGAAGCCCAAAGUAUGGGAUUUAUUUUUCUCCUUUCUUCUUUUCCUCUCUGCUACAUACAGGGGAAUCUUUCUCUCUUUCUUUUCCUUUCCAACUCGGGACUCUUGGUGAACAGCGCCUAAGCAUGGUGACAACUGCAAGUUUCUGGCCAGAGCCUCUCUCUGGUGAAACUGAAAGGCUUCCAUGUGGAAGCGUCUGAGUAACACCGCUGGGUUCGG